rnacentral:misc_RNA from 1 species
UGAUUAUCGUGCUAGCGAAUCCUGUGGUCAAUCCUGUGGUAGCUUCACACUAGUUUGUUUACGCGCGCGGUCAGCUUCCACUGUCUGUACUAAUUACUGUCUGUAUUAUAUAUUAAUAUAUAUUUACGGCCCUGAAUUCCGUGCCGUACCAAAUAUCGUGCCGUGUGUAGUUGUGCGUAGUGUAAACAGGGGUUUACUCUAAUCAGUAUAUGGUAUUAAAUUGAUAGAACACUUGUCAGUUGCAAAACUUUUGAUGUAUUUGAAUGAUGAUCGAAUUUUGAUGGCUGAAUAGUGAACCGCGAAGGGAUGAAAUCAUUGAAAUGUGCCUGUAUUAUGUCUCAAUUUUUAAAACUAUUAUCAUCGAUUAUUUAAUAUUAAACAUCAUAAAGAAUUAUCAUCUUCCCAAGCCAGGGGCCUAGCCUGCCCAAAUCUAUCUGUAUAAAUGCAUUUGAGCAUUUCCCGCCAUAGACCUAGUUGUUUUACUUGAUUUACCUUAACUCUGGAGCAAUUCAAAUGUAUAAAUCAAAUUUUCCAACAGUUUAUAUAUUAUCAAUGUAAAAGAUAGGUUGUUCUAACGAAUGGAGAUGUCAGACGACCACAACACAAAUACACCAAGCCAUCAUGUUGAUCAACAACUUGCAGAAAGCUCUGUGCCAUUGUUGAAGCAAAGAAGUUCUGAUGAAUGGUAUAAUCUGGGAUUGUUCUUGUAUUAUAAGGGACGUGUCCAAGCAGCCUUUAUAGCCAUCGUUGUAAAUGCUCUGCAAUAUAAUCCCAAUCACGAGGGCAGUAGAGCUAUUGCACCGUUAAAGAUGGUUCCAAAAGCCAUUAUGGAUUUCACAGACGCCAUUGAGUUGGAUGUCAGCCAUCUGAAAGCACAUCUUUUCAGGGCGAAGUGUUACUUCGCAAUUGGACAGUAUGAGAAAGCCAGUGAAGCACAUUAUGAAAUCUACGCCAUGACUGGCAUACCAGAGUAUUAUCGAUUAUCUGAAGAAGCAUACAAUGAGGAGUGUAACCUCGAUUUUGCCCUCUUUACCCUAUCGUUGACUCGAGAUUGUUCAGUCUUGGACGUGAAGGCAGCCUUUCGUAGGGAGGCGCGACUGCAUCAUCCAGAUCUCCAUGCGGGGGCGAGUAAUGAGAUACAAGAAAGAGAAGAGGAAACAUUCAAGGAGGUACAACGAGCCCGUCAAAUUCUCCUUGAUUUUUUGAAAAGGAAGAAUCGUUUCAAUAAUAACCAUGUGUGGUUUUCAAACACAGAUUAUUUUGAGCUCUGAAUAAGCUCAGUUAAUCCAAGAUCAACCAAUUUAAAGAACAAUACUGACAGUGGGUACUAAGCAAAAAACAUGAUUUUAUCUCUUGUAUUUUUUAUCUAUCUCACUAGUGCCUCCUGAUUUAUAUCCCGAUUUAUAUAACAAACAUAUAAAUAAUCUACAUAAAUUAGAUAAUAAUUCUGAUGAUUGUGGUAAGCAAAUAUUUUAUUGUAUUGUACAAUGUAACUGCAUGUUUUAGUAGUUUAAUGUGGCAAAUUAAAGCCGUUAAAUUAAUAAUUAAUUAAAUUAAAUUUUACUAUUGAAAAAUAGGUUAUAGCAAACAGAGAUGGGGCAUAGCUUGGGUGGAGUUAAAGAAUCAAUUCUAGACAAGAGGCACCACCACAAAGAAGAAAUUCUAGAGGCGAGAACUCUUUUGUUGGUUGGUUUGUGU